AGCACGUAUGCUCUCUCUCUCUCAAAAAUAAAUAAAUGUUAAAAACAAAAAAAAGAUCACAGCUGGAUAGGAACAGACCUAGGACUCCCCUGGGAUUUUAUGGAGUCUAAUCCCUUCUCCAUUGCUUUUGGCAACAUACAGACUGGGGAAAAGCAGACCGAUCUGACAUGAAGGGGACCCAGGGGCUCUCUCUGAUGUGGCCAGAGCCUACCCUCAUCAGCACCCUUCCCACCGUGCCUUGCCACGUGGGCUCUCUGCGGCCGCGUCCCACAUCGGCUAGACGUGGGUCACCCCCAGCAGAGCUCAGUCCGCCAGCCGAAGGCUUUUUCCUGAUUAACUGAGUGUGGCUCUGCCAGGAAGCUCUCUCCUCAUCCUCUCGCCCUGCUGGUCUCCCCCAACUCCCGCUGCCACAGUCUGGCAUCCUUGGCACUCCCUAGGUGCGCAGGCACGGGCCAUGCCCCUCACCCCCAGCCUGACAGCCUCCUGGGCCGAGACGCUGCCUCGGCUGGCAACUUCUCUACUCCCAACCCUACCCCACAAUACCAGCUCUUCUCAGGACAGGUCCGUGUGGCCCCAGAGAAGCAGAGGGCAGCUGGAAGUUGCAGACUGAGAAGACAGCCCACCGAGCUCCUGGACGAGCAGUGUCUGUCGUCAGCCCAGCGUGCGUCCUCCUUGGUCUCUGGCCCCGGGGAGAACACACGUGGGAAGAUGUGGCUGGGGACCCUCACAGGCUCGUGCAGCUGAUGCCGUCUCUCUAAGAUGAACACAGGAAAGACGGACACUGUGGGGGCCUCCAUCUGCGUCUCCCUAGUUUCUUGGCCUCCCUGUGCAGGGAGGACCAUCUACUGGUCUCUGAAUCAAAUCUCAUCAGCGCAAGCUGUUCUCAAGAGAGGCUCCUGGCUUUUCCUUGACCUAACACAGUCCAAGUGGGAGAGAACCUUCAGGAAAACCUGUACGGCCAACAUGUCCGGUGAACCCCCGGUGUUUGGUCUACGUCCGAUCUCAGUUAUUUUGAAGUGGUUUAUCCCAGGUGACUACACAAGGAACAUCAAACAAGGAAGGAAGUGCCGCUGUGGGCCCGGGGACAGCCUGGCGUCCCUGGACCAUCCUCUUCUUUUUCCUCAUGGGACCAAGGCUGUGGGAUACAGGACGGGGAGGAACAGGAGGGCUCUUGUUCAGCUUCCCUGCAGAUGUCCCUAGGUGCCCUGACAACGUGAGACCUACUGGAAAUGGCUCUGCCCGCUGACAGAAAGGCUCGGCCAUACCCCCGCUGCCUUGGGUGCUGCAGCCUUAACACAGUGCUGAAGAAGUAUUCAUACUUCAGCCCCUGGGCAAAGCAACGCUGCUCCCAGAGAAAGGGGUGUGCCCCGCCAGCUCAUCUUGGCUUCGAAGAACCGGCUGCUGAGCUCGUGAGAUGUGUUACUCACAAAAUAACUUCAAGACUCUUAGAAUGGACAGCUACCACUCUUAACUGCCGGCUCCCCUGCCGGCCCUGCCUGUGCCACGUUUAUGAUGCCUGCGCUCCAACGAUGACUGCUACGUCCCCGUGAUGUCAACUCUGACCCGACUUGGCCGUUAAGCAGGCCUCCCUCUCCUGGGGCUCGCACAAAGGAGGCCUGUUGAGAGGCGGCGAGGUUUCCUGACCACCGUUUCCUGCAGCAUUGCUCAAGCCGCUGCAUAUAAAGUUUUUACAGUGACUGAUCAGACUGGGGCCUGAAAUCACGGAAUGGGAUGCCGUCUCCCCCCAAACCCUCUUUGCUUGAUUAGCUAUUGUAUCGUGCUGGUGCUCUUUAGGACCUGAAAUAAAAGCUCAUGUGAAUUUCCAAGUAAUAAAAUUCACUCAAGUCGCUAAAUAGGG